rnacentral:rRNA from 1 species
CCUACGGGGGGCUGCAGUGGGGAAUAUUGGACAAUGGGGGGAACCCUGAUCCAGCCAUGCCGCGUGUGUGAAGAAGGCCCUCGGGUUGUAAAGCACUUUCAGUGAGGAAGAACGCCUGGUGGUUAAUACCCAUCAGGAAAGACAUCACUCACAGAAGAAGCACCGGCUAACUCCGUGCCAGCAGCCGCGGUAAUACGGAGGGUGCGAGCGUUAAUCGGAAUUACUGGGCGUAAAGCGCGCGUAGGUGGCUUGAUAAGCCGGUUGUGAAAGCCCCGGGCUCAACCUGGGAACGGCAUCUGGAACUGUCAAGCUAGAGUGCAGGAGAGGAAGGUAGAAUUCCCGGUGUAGCGGUGAAAUGCGUAGAGAUCGGGAGGAAUACCAGUGGCGAAGGCGGCCUUCUGGACUGACACUGACACUGAGGUGCGAAAGCGUGGGUAGCAAACAGGAUUAGAUACCCGGGUAGUC